ensembl:snRNA U6 U6 spliceosomal RNA
GUGCUCACUUUGGCAGCACAUAAACUAAAAUUGGAAUGAUACAGAAAAGAUUAUCAUUACCCCUGCACAAGGAUGACAUGAAAAUUUGUGAGGUAUUCCAUAUUUUU